UCCCUGGUGGCUCAGAGGGUAAAGCGUCUGCCUGCAAUGAGGGAGACCCAGGUUCGAUCCCUGGGUUGGGAA
rnacentral:tRNA from 1 species